rnacentral:rRNA from 1 species
ACUUUCAACAAUGGAUCUCUUGGCUCUGGCAUCGAUGAAGAACGCAGCGAAAUGCGAUAAGUAGUGUGAAUUGCAGAAUUCAGUGAAUCAUCGAAUCUUUGAACGCACAUUGCGCCCCUCGGUAUUCCGUGGGGCAUGCCUGUUCGAGCGUCAUCUAC